CAGUAGCCGCGGGAAUACGAAGGGCGCAAGCGUUAAUCGGAAUUACUGGGCGUAAAGCGUGCGCAGGCGGUUGUGUAAGACAGGUGUGAAAUCCCCGGGCUUAACCUGGGAACUGCGCUUGUGACUGCACAGCCAGAGUAUGGCAGAGGGGGGUGGAAUUCCACGUGUAGCAGUGAAAUGCGUGGAGAUGUGGAGGAACACCGAUGGCGAAGGCAGCCCCCUGGGCCAAUACUGACGCUCAUGCACGAAAGCGUGGGGAGCAAACAGGAUUAGAUACCCCUGUAGUCCCUGUCUCUUAUAC
rnacentral:rRNA from 1 species